GAUGAAGAACGUAGCGAAAUGCGAUAAGUAAUGCGAAUUGCAGAAUUUCCGUGAAUCAUCGAGUCUUUGAACGCACAUUGCGCCCCCUGGUAUUCCGGGGGGCAUGCCUGUCCGAGCGUCAUUGCUGCCCUCAAGCACGGCUUGUGUGUUGGGCCCCGCCCCCCGGCUCCCGGGGGGCGGGCCCGAAAGGCAGCGGCGGCACCGCGUCCGGUCCUCGAGCGUAUGGGGCUUCGUCACCCGCUCCGUAGGCCCGGCCGGCGCCCGCCGGCGACCCCCCUCAAUCUUUUCAGGUUGACCUCGGAUCAGGUAGGGAUACCCGCUGAACUUAAGCAUAUCAAUAAGCGGAGGA
rnacentral:misc_RNA from 1 species